CGCCUUUUUAAAAAGAAUUUGGCAAAUGCUUUUUUCUCUCUAUUUACCAAUUGCUUUUCUUUGUCGGUUUGCCAAAUGCUUUUCUUUAUCUAUUUGUCAAUCGAGUGGUAAAAUGCCAUUGGACAGUACACACGUGGGAGCAACCAAUCAACUUUCGCCUCAAUUUGAAGAGCCAAUCCUCUCUCACUAGUAACACUCACUGUCAUUGGACAGUUAGUACGGUGACCGGGAGAGGACAUGAUCGGUUCAUUUAGUUUUGUCUCGGCCACGACAUAAUAAACUCGUGGGAACGUGAUAAUAUGUUGUGACCACGAGAUCGUUUUGUCGAGGUAAGGACAUCCUUAUGUCGUGGCAACGAUAUAUUUUUCUCGUGGCCAUGACUUCAUUACAUUGAGGGAACGACAUUAUUUCUCAUGGCCACGAGUUACAUGUGUAAACAACCUGCGCUACCAUAGCAACCUGGAAUUAUCAGAAAUGGAUAGGCCUAUAAUAAUAUUUAUUUUUAAUUUAGAAAAAGAACGGAAUUAAGAAAUUAUUGUAUUAACAUGAUGUCGUUACCUCGACAAAGCGAUCUCGUGGCCACGACUUAUUAUCACGUUCCCACGAGUUUAUUAUGUCGUGGCCGAGACAAAAUGAAAUGAACAGAUCAUGUCCUCUCCCGGUCACCGUACUAACUGUCCAAUGACGUGCAAAGAUGCCUUGCAAAGAAAGGAUAAAGAAAACAAAAAAAGAAGGAACUGCUUGAGGCAGCAAAAGGCAGUGGAUCCCUAUCCAGCUGGUUCAUGAAGAGCACAACAGAUGGACAGAGAGUGGAAAGUAAUAGAUCAGAUGAGGAGUUGGAGAUAGAGGAAGAAAAAGAGUGGAAUGUAGAGGCACAAGUGACAGAAAGAGAGCAGGGAACAGCAAGCCAGGAGACAAAGGCUGGUGAGAAAGUGGAAAAUGUAGAGGCACAAGCAACAGAAGCAAGUUAAUGCUUUUUUUUAAUCAGAUAAUAAAACUAUAUUGUACUGUACGAAACAUGGGCCACGUCGAUUUUACUAUAAUGUUUUCUAUAGUUUUUACUAUAACAGCUGUUCUUAAUUAUUCUGUAAAACAGAGAAGAAAAAGCCAUCAGGUUGGGACAACUUAAGACAACUUAGUUUCUAAUCCCAGAGUUAUUAUUAGGUGGAAAGAAAAUAUUUUUUUAACUUUUAAACUUAAAAUUGUCUUUCCCAUUCUGUUUCUUUUUCAAAACUGCAUCACAGCAUUUGCUGCCGUAUCAAUACAUAAUCAUCCAUAUCGAUACGCGAAUCAGCAAGGAAUGCAUCACAAUAUAUUGCUGUAUUGAUAUUUUGAGCAGCACUAUUUAAAGCCUUGUUCCAUGUGCCCCUUUUAUACUUUGAGCACCUGCCCCUCGAAAGGUCUCUGCACGGCCCUGUUCUGGAUUAUCAGCACAAGGAAGACACAAGUGUAAUAAAAAUAAAUUUUAUUAACAAAAAGAUAAACAAG